CCUUUCAAGUGUGUAAGAAUUUCACUUGGAUAUGAAUGAAUUGAGAGAUGUUAGAGAGGAUUUACAUUCAUCCCUGAUUUUGUGGGAUUGAGUUGUGAGUGGAAUGAGGUGAAUCGUGUGAGCCAUGUGCUGAGUUUUUGGAUCCAAUUUUCUUUUGUUUUGUGGUAAUCAACAUGUCCCUUUUUACAGCAGUUAACUGUGAUAAUUGUUUUUUAUGAAAAUUUGAAAUGGUCCAAUGUUUUAUGCUGCAUAAUUGUUGCAUUGCUUUGCUGUGGUUGCUGCAUAACUCGUUGUGGUAAGGAUUUAAACAAACACGUUGCUGAAAACGAAAUGUCCCUUCUGUUAUGAUUCCAUUUUUUCCAAAUAAACUUGACCAUGCGUGUUUUACUGCAUAAUGGCUCCUUUGACCAUGCCAUAUUGUGUUUGAUGACUAUGCUGCAAUUUUCGUUUGCAUUGCCUUGAUCAUGUUGCAUAGCUACAUUUUUUAUAUUACAUUGGUUGUAUUGAUUGGAAACAUGUUGCAAUGCCUGCCUUGGGGACUAAUUCCUUUCUGGUGCUCUAGGUCUUUGUUGAUGAACCAUGGUUGGCAGAGUGGAUUCAAGUGCAAGAUAGAAUGGCUAGGAGAUUGAAGAUUGCAUGGAUCAAUGGAGCAAGGAAUUGGAUCACGUGGAAGCUUGUGGGAUAUUUACACAAUUAGCUUUUAGGCCUUGUUUUUAUGUUUUGUGAUGCGGUAUGGUGCCUAGGUUCAAGUUGACAAAGAAAAAGAAAGAUUCAAAUGUACAAAAUAAUGUAAUUUGAAAAGAGCAAAUGUUAAGUUUUUUUUUUUACAUUUGUUGAUACAAUGUAAUAUUUGUAACACAUCAAAGAAAUUUGAUAUAAAAAUGAGAACGGGCUACUUGGAUUCAAAAUCUAAC
rnacentral:lncRNA from 1 species